CGCUGGCGGCGUGCCUAACACAUGCAAGUCGAACGGAGUACCUUCGGGUACUUAGUGGCGAACGGGUGAGUAACGCGUGAGAAACCUGCCUUUCAGUGGGGGACAACAGUUGGAAACGACUGCUAAUACCGCAUAAUGUUAUUUGAGGGCAUCCUCGAAUAACCAAAGCUUUAUGUGCUGAAAGAUGGUCUCGCGUCUGAUUAGCUAGAUGGCGGGGUAACGGCCCACCAUGGCGACGAUCAGUAGCCGGUCUGAGAGGAUGAACGGCCACAUUGGGACUGAGAUACGGCCCAGACUCCUACGGGAGGCAGCAGUGGGGAAUAUUGGGCAAUGGGGGAAACCCUGACCCAGCAACGCCGCGUGAAGGAAGAAGGCCUUCGGGUUGUAAACUUCUUUUACCAGGGACGAAGGACGUGACGGUACCUGGAGAAAAAGCAACGGCUAACUACGUG
rnacentral:rRNA from 1 species